rnacentral:lncRNA from 1 species
CGCUGCCGAGCCACAGGCUGCCUGCAAAAAUAUCUGCCUAUGUAUAUGUAUGAGGAGAACUCGCUUUAAAAGGCAUGGGCGAGGCAGUGAAAAUGUGCUAAUAGCGUGGCAUCUGGCCGGGCACCUGACAGUAUGGCAUCUGACAGUGGAACCAGUUACAGGGGAAAGAAGGAUACAUGAGCGAGGACAUACUCCCAGAGGGAGGAAAUGUGGCAUUUGACAGGGGAAGGAAAUGGCAGCUUGAAGCUGAGAGCAAGAUUUCCCCGUAAUGUGAAACAGUACACUGGCCCUGGUGUGAAAGGAACUACGCUGAUUUACAUCCAGAAAGGCUGUGGCUCUCUAGCAUACUAAAUAUCCCGUGCUAUUGCUGCACCAGGUACUCAGCUGAGGUAUACAACUGUCCAGUGCUCACAGUACUGUGGGGAAAUGCUC